UUCGCAAUGCCCGAAAGGGUGACGAAGCGACGCCGCGUGGGUGAGGAAGGCCUUCGGGUUGUAAAGCCCUGUCAGGAGUUAAGAAAUGUAAGUGCGCUAAUAUCGCAUUUAUUUGACGAAGGCUCCAAAGGAAGUCACGGCUAACUCUGUGCCAGCAGCCGCGGUAAUACCGAGGUGGCAAGCGUUGUUCGGAAUUAUUGGGCGUAAAGAGCACGUAGGUGGGUUUGUAAGUCAGAUGUGAAAGCCUUCUGUUCAACGGAAGAAUUGCAUCUGAAACUGCGAGUCUUGAGUAUAGGAGGGGAGAAUGGAACUUCUGGUGGAGCGGUGAAAUGCGUAGAUAUCAGAAGGAACGCCGGCGGCGAAAGCGAUUCUCUGGCCUAUUACUGAUACUCAGUGUGCGAAAGCUAGGGGAGCAAACGGGAUUAGAUACCCCGGUAGUCCUAGCCGUAAACGAUGGGCACUAAGUAGAGGGGUUUU
rnacentral:rRNA from 1 species